rnacentral:tRNA from 1 species
GUGGCUAUAGCUCAGUUGGUAGAGCCCUAGAUUGUGGUUCUAGUUGUCGCGGGUUCAAAUCCCGUUAGCCACCCCA